rnacentral:tRNA from 1 species
GCCUUCGUGGUGUAAUGGUAAAACACUCGGUGCGUAUUCGAGAGGUCCAGGAUCAAGUCUCGGCGGUGGCA